AAUGAACGCUGGCGGCAUGCUUAAUACAUGCAAGUCGAACGACAAGGCGAGCUUCGGCCUCGCCGCACGUUACCGGCGGAUGAGUAAGACACACGAAGGUGCCCAAUCGAUAGGGAUAGGAUGACGAAGGGAAGCUUGAUAUAGUAUCCGACCAUAUAGUGAAACCGAGGGAUCAUCGGAGCUAGAGGGAUUUGCUGUGACGAUGGCAGAUUAGCUAGUUGGUGGGGUAAAGGCCUACCAAGGCGACGAUCUGUAGCAGGUCUGAGAGGACGACCAGCCACACUGGGACUGAGACACGGCCCAGACUCCUACGGGAGGCAGCAGUGGGGAAUUUUGGACAAUGGGCGAAAGCCUGAUCCAGCAAUGCCGCGUGUGUGAUGAAGGCCUUCGGGUUGUAAAGCACUUUUGGCGGGAACGAAAAGGACUGUGCCAAUACCACGGUUCGAUGACGGUACCCGCAGAAUAAGCACCGGCUAACUACGUG
rnacentral:rRNA from 1 species